UACAGAGGGUGCGAGCGUUAAUCGGAAUUACUGGGCGUAAAGCGCACGUAGGCGGCUUGGUAUGUCGGGGGUGAAAUCCCCGGGCUCAACCUGGGAACUGCAUCCGAAACUGCCUUGCUAGAGUAUGGGAGAGGAGAGUGGAAUUCCUGGUGUAGCGGUGAAAUGCGCAGAUAUCAGGAAGAACACCCGUGGCGAAAGCGGCUCUCUGGAACGGUACUGACGCUGAGACGCGAAAGCGUGGGGAGCGAACAGG
rnacentral:rRNA from 1 species